AGAGUGAAGAUUUAGAUGAAGAUACUACAAGUAAUACAGUCAGAAUUGAUGAAGGAGCAAGCUCGCAUGAACAACCUAUGUUCAUGGUAUUUUACAUCUCAUUGGUUGAGUUAUUUGAAAAAUUUUGCUUUAACU